CCACAGAAACAAGAAGAUAUGAAAGCACUCUAUCAACAAUUAAUUUACAAGCACCUAAAGGAAAAUGGGUUCAUACAAGCAGGAUUUCGAUCCGAUCAAUCAACUAAACGUCGCAACAAAUACUUCUUUGCGACUGGAGAUUUUUCAGGGCAGAGUCACAAGACUAGGAGCAAAUGCAUGCAUCGUCAGAAUGAUACAUUUUGAUUUUGAAGGAGAAGGAGCAAGACACUCAUGUGUCAUCUUGACAGCAGCCAGCAACACUGGCAUCAACAAUAAACAUCUGCUACUUUUCACUUCCAGGGGUCUUUGCAUUAUUUUCCAAAGUUACUUCUUUUUUUUUCUUUUUUUUUACUGUUAGGCAAACUGUUUCCUGGAAUAUUUACCCAGAACAUAUUUCAUAUGUACAAGCUUUAGUAAGUGGAGCUGAAGCAAACAGAUGUGCUAACCCCAAUGUGCACUUUUUAUAGUGGAUCCCCAGUGGGGCUGACAUUUUAAAUGGAGACCAAAUUCUCAUUAACUUUCGGCAAGCUAUUGACUUUCAGCAUACAUAGGCAGUCACUGCUUGUUGAGAAAUGUUAUUAGAAAGUGAGGGUAAUCAACAAAUAGCAGGCUUUGCCAUCCUUCUGGUGAACAUUUCUCAGCCUAAACUAAUCAGAGCAAGGUGCAAGCGUGAUGAAAGCUUUUGAAGACAUCUUUAGUAGAGAAAGCGUCAUUUCCACACCAACCAAAAGAGAACAUUCUUACCCUUGUCAAUGAAAGCACAUGUAGGUGGAAAGAGGCAAGCAAAAGUUUAGCAAAUCCUCCUAGACAGCUUUGG